rnacentral:tRNA from 1 species
GGAAUUGUGCCUGAAUUUAAAGGACUACUUUGAUAGAGUAAAAAAUGGAGGUUAAAAUCCUCCCAAUUCUU